rnacentral:rRNA from 1 species
AUUGAACGCUGGCGGCAGGCCUAACACAUGCAAGUCGAACGGUAACAGGAAACAGCUUGCUGUUUCGCUGACGAGUGGCGGACGGGUGAGUAAUGUCUGGGAAACUGCCUGAUGGAGGGGGAUAACUACUGGAAACGGUAGCUAAUACCGCAUAACGUCGCAAGACCAAAGAGGGGGACCCUCGGGGCCUCUUGCCAUCGGAUGUGCCCAGAUGGGAUUAGCUUGUUGGUGGGGUAACGGCUCACCAAGGCGACGAUCCCUAGCUGGUCUGAGAGGAUGACCAGCCACACUGGAACUGAGACACGGUCCAGACUCCUACGGGAGGCAGCAGUGGGGAAUAUUGCACAAUGGGCGCAAGCCUGAUGCAGCCAUGCCGCGUGUAUGAAGAAGGCUCGGUUGUAAGUACUUUACUACGCGGGAGGAAGGGAAGGUAAAGGUUUAAAGUAACCGUUUUACGUACG